AUGUGGAGGAGGGAGGGAGGAGGAGGAGAGAUGUGGAGGGGAAGGAGAGGAGAUGAGGAGGAGGAGGAGAGGAGGAGGAGCAAUACAGUCAAGGAACACAACGUCAAAACACAACUAGGAGAGGAGAGGAGGAGGAGGGAGGAGAGGAGGAGAGGAGAGGAGCAAUUCAGUCAAAGAACGCAACGUCAAAACACACCAACUAGGAGAGGAGAGGAGGAGGAGGGAGGAAAGGAGAGGAGGAGGAGGAGGAGGAGAGGAGAUUGUAGGAGGAGGAAGGAGGAGGAGAGAUGUGGAGGGAGGAGAGGAGGAGGAGGAGGAGGAGAGGAGGAGGAGCAAUACAGUCAAGGAACGCAACGUCAAAACACACAACUAGGAGAGGAGAGGAGGGAGAAGAGGAGAGGAGAAAUUCAGUCAAGGAACGCAACGUCAAAACACACAACUAGGAGAGGAGAGGAGAGGAGAGGAGAGGAGAGUCUGUUGUACGCUAAUGCCUUUAUAAAGGUAUUCAAUACAGUCAAGGAACACAACGUCAAAACACACAACUAGGAGAGGAGAAGAGGAGGAGGAGAGGAGAGGAGAGGAGAAGAAACACACAACUAGCAACUUCUACUAGUCCAAUAAAACUCCUGGAGAGAAACAGUUGGAUUAUCUUAGUUUCUAUAGAUACUAAAUGUAAGUAAAGAAAUGAAGGUCCUAAUGCCGACAUCUCCUCCCUGUUUUGCAGCUCUCACACGCUGCGCGUCAUCAUAACUUAAAACAAUCAAUAUGGUAAACAGCGGGGGUAAAUCUAAACGCUCAGUUAUUCAAAUGAGUUGUGUUUACGACCACCGAUAGGUUACAUUCACCCCCCCCUCGCCCCCCCCCCAGCAGCGACCACAGACAGACCACCAUCUAGGGAGGUACGAAGAAGAAGCCGAAACACAAAAAAAACACUAUUAUUGUGACACGGACAGAAUUAAGCCCCUCCUCCCCGUGUCUGUAGUCCUUGUGAUUGGCUACAAUAUGCAUAGAUACAGGGAUCAGCUUUAUGGUUCAGUCCCACUGACGUCACACACACACACUGGGAGGACAGUGGCGAGGAAGAGGAGGAGGAAGCACGUUGAUUUCUCUACCUUUUCUUAAGACAGCAUUGGGGGGGGGGCGGUGAAACCGCUGAGCUCUUCCAAGCAGGUAUUUUGGCAAAGAACAAACUAACUCACACAACCAGAAGUCGUUUCAGUGCUAGAAGAUGGAUGCUUCCGACAAGGAGAGGAUCUGGGGAGACACUGGCUCCAUUUCAGGUCUAACCAGAACCACGGGCCAGGACACUGACCGACCCCCCAGUCAGGACACUGACCGACCCCCCCAGUCAGGACACUGACCGACCCCACAGCCAGGACACUGACCGACCCCACAGCCAGGACACUGACCGACCCCCCAGUCAGGACACUGACCGACCCCACAGCCAGGACACUGACCGACCCCACAGCCAGGACACUGACCGACCCCACAGCCAGGACACUGACCGACCCCACAGCCAGGACACUGACCGACCCCACAGCCAGGACACUGACCGACCCCACAGUCAGGACACUGACCGACCCCACAGUCAGGACACUGACCGACCCCACAGUCAGGACACUGACCGACCCCACAGUCAGGACACUGACCGACCCCCACAGCCAGGACACUGACCGACCCCACAGCCAGGACACUGACCGACCCCACAGCCGACCCCACAAGCCAGGACACUGACCGACCCCAGUCAGGACACUGACCGACCCCACAGUCAGGACACUGACCGACCCCACAGUCAGGACACUGACCGACCCCACAGCCAGGACACUGACCGACCCCACAGCCAGGACACUGACCGACCCCACAGCCAGGACACUGACCGACCCCACAGUCAGGACACUGACCGACCCCACAG
rnacentral:lncRNA from 1 species